UCGAACGAUAUAGUGGCAGACGGGUGAGUAACGCGUGGGAACGUACCUUUCACUACGGAAUAGCUCUUGGAAACGAGUGGUAAUACCGUAUACGCCCUUCGGGGGAAAGAUUUAUCGGUGAAAGAUCGGCCCGCGUUAGAUUAGCUAGUUGGUAGGGUAAUGGCCUACCAAGGCGACGAUCUAUAGCUGGUCUGAGAGGAUGAUCAGCCACACUGGGACUGAGACACGGCCCAGACUCCUACGGGAGGCAGCAGUGGGGAAUCUUGCACAAUGGGCGAAAGCCUGAUGCAGCCAUGCCGCGUGAAUGAUGAAGGCCUUAGGGUUGUAAAAUUCUUUCGCUAGGGAUGAUAAUGACAGUACCUAGUAAAGAAGCCCCGGCUAACUUCGUGCCAGCAGCCGCGGUAAUACGAAGGGGGCUAGCGUUGUUCGGAAUUACUGGGCGUAAAGCGCACGUAGGCGGACUUUUAAGUCAGAUGUGAAAUCCCGGGGCUCAACCUC
rnacentral:rRNA from 1 species